rnacentral:rRNA from 1 species
GAUGAACGCUGGCGGCGUGCCUAAUACAUGCAAGUCGAGCGAACAGACGAGGAGCUUGCUCCUCUGACGUUAGCGGCGGACGGGUGAGUAACACGUGGAUAACCUACCUAUAAGACUGGGGUAACUUCGGGAAACCGGAGCUAAUACCGGAUAAUAUAUUGAACCGCAUGGUUCAAUAGUGAAAGACGGUUUUGCUGUCACUUAUAGAUGGAUCCGCGCCGCAUUAGCUAGUUGGUAAGGUAACAGCUUACCAAGGCAACGAUGCGUAGCCGACCUGAGAGGGUGAUCGGCCACACUGGAACUGAGACACGGUCCAGACUCCUACGGGAGGCAGCAGUAGGGAAUCUUCCGCAAUGGGCGAAAGCCUGACGGAGCAACGCCGCGUGAGUGAUGAAGGUCUUCGGAUCGUAAAACUCUGUUAUUAGGGAAGAACAAAUGUGUAAGUAACUAUGCACGUCUUGACGGUACCUAAUCAGAAAGCCACGGCUAACUACGUG